UACAGAGGUGCUCGAGCGUUUAGGUCGGAAGUCACUGGGCUUAAAGCGUGUGUAGGCGGACUUCUAAAGUGACCUUGUGCAAAGUCCCACGGCUCAACCGUGGAACUGCUUGGUAUACUGGGUCGUCUUUGAGCCAUCUAGGGGCUGUCGGAAACAAAUGGUGGAGCGGUGAAAUGGCGAUAGAUAGUCAGGAGGACACCUGUGGUGUAGACGCUUUCUGGACCAUAGCUGACGCUGAGACACGAAAGCGUGGGUAGCAAACAGG
rnacentral:rRNA from 1 species